CCUACGGGAGGCUGCAGUGGGGAAUAUUGCUCAAUGGGGGAAACCCUGAAGCAGCAACGCCGCGUGGAGGAUGAAGGUUUUCGGAUUGUAAACCCCUUUUGUUAGAGAAGAUAAUGACGGUAUCUAACGAAUAAGCACCGGCUAACUCCGUGCCAGCAGCCGCGGUAAUACGUAGGGUGCAAGCGUUACUCGGACUCACUGGGCGUAAAGAGCGCGUAGGCGGGAUAGCAAGUCAGAUGUGAAAUCCUAUGGCUUAACCAUAGAACUGCAUUUGAAACUGUUAUUCUAGAGUGUGGGAGAGGUAGGUGGAAUUCUUGGUGUAGGGGUAAAAUCCGUAGAGAUCAAGAGGAAUACUCAUUGCGAAGGCGACCUGCUAGAACAUAACUGACGCUGAUGCGCGAAAGCGUGGGGAGCAAACAGCAUUAGAUACCCGAGUAGUC
rnacentral:rRNA from 1 species